rnacentral:miRNA from 1 species
AUCACCUGAGGAUCUUGUUAGAAUGCAGAUUGUGGCUCAGUAGGCCUGGGAUAAGACCUGAGAUUCUACAUUUCUAACAAGUUCCAGGCGAUGC